UUGAUGCAAACAGCAAGAGGAUUUUUAUUCCGAGCGUGCUGGUGCCCACAGUCGUACGCCACGCAGGGGUAGAGGACUGCGGCCCCGAGUGUGGAGUCGGGACAGCUUUUAUGGGGUUCACAACAAAGCCCGCGCUUUUACAAACUAAUCAUUUUUAAAAUAUCGCAAACCAGUCAAUUCAAAACUUCGAGAGCCCGCGCUUUGUGGACCAAUUAAUUUUAAGUUGUUCUGGAGUUACAUGUUUGUGCCUGUCUCUGGGUGGGGGAGACAUAUUGUCACCAAGAUAUAUUUAUCAGGAUUUUCAACAUUUUGUGGCACGCCCGAUCUUACUGGGGUCCGUUAGGCAAUUGACUUCUCCUCUUUUUAUCUUAUGCAAGCAGGUUUACAGAAGCCAAACAAGCAGUUAGGAGCAGUUUCAAGAAGUUUCAAGCAUAGAGGCACAUACUCAGGGGCCUGUUUUUCCCCUUCCACAAAGUUUUGUACAGAGCAGAAAGCAAGCCCUAAAACAGCAAAAAGUAUGAUCUUUUACCUAUAGGGAACAGGGUCUGGAAUUCGAGGGCAUUUAGAGCUUCUUAUUAACUUCCUGGGUUCUGGGAGAGUCAGGUUGCAUUUUCAUCCUUUCAGUCCCCACUUCUUCUCUUGUUAAUAGUUCUAAUCUUAGAACUAGGAAGGCUAAAGGUCAGUUUCUCCUUAGCUUGGAAGGCCUUGGUACUGCUGUCUAAGUACCAUGAUCCGAACUGCACUCACUUGUUCUCUAACAAAGGCAACAAACCGAUUAAUUAAGCAAGGCCCAACUGCUCAGUGGGGACUGAUCCAGAGGUUGUAUUGUAAUCAGAGGGGUUAGGAGAUGGCCUCUGUUCUUGGAUUGGAGGUCCUUGUUCGGCCAAACCCUUAUUUGGUCCUAUAGCAACCGGAGGUUCCAUCUGAGUUUCUAUUCUGAGGCGAAUAGUCAGAACAGAUCCUUUCUUUCUCCCAGAGCCUCCAUAGUACACUAUUCCCCAAGACAUACCAUUUACCCACUUUUGAAUAUUUUCUUGUUUUCCUUUUUCAGUGAAACUUAUUUUUAAGUAAUCUAGGUCUAACGAAUGACAGCUUAUUUGCUUAUUUCGUACAUCUUUUUGUACCCGCUGUUGCCAAUCUUUCCAUCUCCCAUGGCCAUAAUUAAAUUGAUUAUAACUGGUAGGAUUGUUAACAAAAGAGUAACUUACUCUGUCUUGCUGAGAGACUGGCCAUUUCCAAUUCCCAUCAUUAGAAGUUACGCAGCUCCAUUGCUUGCAAAAGAAAUCCUGAGGAUUUCCACAAUAUUCUUCAUUAUUUGGGGGUCCUGGGCAAACGUAAAACCCGUAAGCACGGAGUACAUCGGGGGGUGUGGCCUGGUCAUUGAGACCAGGGAUUACUGAUCGAAGGCAGACAUAUAAUUCAGGCCACCAGGUCCCCAAGGGAGCCUCCCCUUGAGUGCUGUUAAUAUUAAUACCUGUACCGGAGUCAGUAAGUAACCAGGUGAGAGAUAAGGGUUUAUGGGAGUUCGGGCUGUCCACAAGGCGUUUACCAUUAACUUGAGGAGUUAUUGACAGAGUAAGGAACCACGCGAUGGAGGCGAAGCUUAAGGGGAUUUUCAGUCUUUUCGGCUUUCCACCCCGAAUCGGGAGGUGGCGCCGGCUUAACGUGGGAUGCAUGGAUCCAGGUGGGGAUUCCUUCGACUUUCACAGCCGUUGGUGUGGUCAAAAGUACGAGAUAAGGUCCCUUCCACCGAGUCUCGAGGUUUCCUGCACGGUGGCGUCUAACAUAGACUGAAUCUCCAACUUGGAAGCGAUGUGGAACUUGCAAGUCUCCUCCUGAGUAGGCCUCCCGGAGCUGCUUCCACGCUCGCUGCCUCACCCACUCGAGCGCCUUGAGCCUAGAGAACAAAGGCUGGGAAAGCAGCACAUCAGCACUAUGUGCAAAGGCAAUUUCUGCCAACGGGGGGGGUCCCCCGUAGAGCAAUUCAUAGGGGGUCAGCCCAAACUGUCCAGGGGUGUUCCUCACCCUAAAAAGCACAAAGGGCAGGAGAGCUAUCCAAUCAUUAAUGCCAGUCUCUGUGGUCAAUUUGGUAAGGGUCUCUUUAAUGGUUCUAUUCAUCCUCUCUACCUGUCCUGAGCUUUGGGGUCUGUAUGCACAAUGCAGUUUCCAAUCAAUCCCCAAUAUCUUGGCCAGUCCCUGACUUACCUGGGCAACGAAAGCUGGACCAUUGUCUGACCCUAUUACCUUAGGUAUUCCAAAUCUUGGAAAAAUUUCCUCCAGUAUUUUCUUAGCCACCACGGUUGAAGUCUCUUUCUUAGUAGGAUAAGCCUCUACCCAUCCUGAAAAGGUGUCUACAAAAACCAAUAGAUAUUUGUUUCCGUAUUUAGCCGGCUUUACCUCAGUGAAGUCCACUUCCCAGUGAGCGCCUGGGUGGCUUCCCCUUAGUCUCUUUCCUGGAGGUAUUCUGGAAGGAUUAGCAUUAACCAGCUGGCAGGGCACACAAUGUUUGACCACCGAGUCAGCCACUCCUGGUAGCCUCAGAACAUGAUAAGGGGAUGUUCUGACCAACUGCUGCAGGUGUUUAGUUCCUAGGUGGGUUAGACGAUGUAUCUGUUGGACAUAUUCUAACCCUUCUUUGUGGGGCAGGAUUUCCUUCCCAUCUGAGGUAUAGCAGGUCCCCUCCGGAGUUUCAGAGAACUGGUCUAUCUUUUUUAUUUCUUGCCAGUCUUCUAGGGUGUACUGUCGUCCGGGUUCUGGGGCUUUGGGUGUUUCUAUCAUAGGCAGAAGGUUAACACCCUGGGCUGCCUGCUUGGCAACCCGGUCAGCCAUCUGGUUCCCUCUGGAUAUGGGAUCUUUGGCUUUCUGAUGUCCAGGACAGUGUAUAAUAGCUAGCCUUUUUGGCAAAUGUAAGGCUUCUAAUAGGCUUAGAAUUUCCUCUUUGUUCUUUAUUUCCCUCCCUGCUGAGGUAAGCAACCCCCUUUGCUUAUAGAUGGCCCCGUGUACGUGUGCAGUCGCAAAGGCAUACCUGCUGUCUGUAUAAAUGUUUAUGGAUUUCCCUUCGGCCAGCCGCAAAGCUUGCGUGAGGGCCAUGAGCUCAGCCUUUUGUGCUGAAGUUCCUUCCGGCAGGCUGCUGGCCCAGAUCGUGCGGGUCCCGUCCACCACCGCCGCCCCAGCCAUCCUCUUACCUUCCACCACAUAGCUGCUUCCGUCAGUGAACCAGGUUAACACUUCUCCAGUCAGCGGUAUGUCUGUAAGGUCCUUGCGGACCCCAGUCUCCUCAAUCAAUAGUUGAUGGCAAUCAUGAGUCACUGGUUCAUCAGUCUCUUCAGGCAGAAGAGUGGCAGGGUUGAGAGCGGCUGGUGGAGCGAACGUGACCCUCUCUGUGAGAAGCAGGCUUUGAUAGUGGGUCAUGCGGGCGUUGGUCAUCCAUCGGUCUGGGGGCUGCCGAACGAUGUUCUCCAACGCAUGGGGGGCUAUUACAGUUAUAUUCUGUCCCAAAGUCAAUUUGUCAGCGUCCUUGACCAGUAUGGCCACAGCUGCGAUAGCCUUCAGGCAUACGGGCCAACCACUGGCUACAGGAUCGAGCUUCUUUGACAGGUAGGCAACAGGUCUCCUCCAUGGUCCUAGGGUUUGGGUUAAAACUCCCCGGGCUACUCCCUUACGCUCAUCCACAUAAAGGGUAAAGGGUUUAGUCACGUCAGGGAGGGCCAGAGCAGGUGCGCUCAGCAGGGCCUUUUUGAUAGCAUCAAAUGCCUUCUGGUGCUCAGGAGCCCAGGAGAAUUCCCCUUUUUCUUUGGUUAGUGGGUAGAGUGGGGCUGCUAAGGUCGCAAACCCCGGGAUCCACAGUCUGCAAAAUCCAGCUGUCCCCAAAAACUCUCUCACUUGUUUGGCUGUGGUUGGGGCCGGUAUCUGGACUACAGUUCUCUUCCGUGCCUCCGUCAGCCAUCGCUGCCCGCCCCGCAAACUGUACCCCAAGUAUGUUACCUCUCUCCUGCAAAUCUGGGCCUUCUUAGCGGAGGCUCUGUAGCCUAGGUCAGACAAUUCCAGCAGUAGUGCCUUCGUACCUUCUAAGCAGUCCUGUUUGGUG
rnacentral:lncRNA from 1 species